GCUGGGAUAGCUCAGUCAGUGGAGCAUGAAACUCUUAAUCUCCGGGUUGUGGGUUCAAGACCCACGAUGGGCA
rnacentral:tRNA from 1 species